GGGUCAAUGUGGGGCAGCCUAACCAAGGGUGGGAGAGAGAGGAAGAGGGAAGGUAGAGGAUUGGUGGUGAUAGUGGUGGGUGAUAACUAGAGGACCAAGUAAUAGGCAGAAAUGGCGAUGACAAGUAAUUAGAAGAAAAAUAAAGAAAAAGGAGCAAAGGGACUUGGGCAAAAUAGAGGCUGCUGGAUGGGGCUUGGUACUAGGUCAUGCCUC
rnacentral:lncRNA from 1 species